UACAGAGGGGGCAAGCGUUGUUCGGAAUUACUGGGCGUAAAGGGCGCGUAGGCGGGCCUGUAUGUCGAUUGUGAAAGCCCUGGGCUUAACCUGGGAAUGGCAGUCGAAACUGCAGGUCUUGAGUGCCUGAGAGGAUGGCGGAAUUCCCGGUGUAGAAGUGAAAUUCGUAGAUAUCGGGAAGAACACCUGAGGCGAAGGCGGCUAUCUGGCGGUGCACUGACGCUAAGGCGCGAAAGCGUGGGGAGCAAACAGG
rnacentral:rRNA from 1 species